UGCAGUUAUAUCUGAUCAAAUGUGCAUUAUUAUUCUUUAACUUGGGUUAAACGAAUUAAUUUUACUUGGCUGGAACAGCAGCUACGUUAAUUAUGUCUCUAUUUGUUUCUCUGUUUUGCCACGGGGAUUUACACAAGCUCCAGUCUGGAUCCAGAACACCUGAGAGGAGAUGAUGCCAACCCCUCAGAGGACCUCAGAUGAUGCUAACCCAGAGACAACAUACAGAACUACCACAUUUUGCUCUAAGUUUGAUUGCAUAAUUGCUGUUAAUAGUGUUAAUCGUCUGUUUGUUUACGUCUUUUAUUGAUUUUUCUGAACAUUUCUGCCGUAUACACACAAACUGACAGUCACCACUGAUAAGCUACUACUAAAUAUUGUAGAAACUUAAUUUUCUGUAAAGUUGCUUUGCAAUGAUUUGUAUCGUAAAAAGCGCUAUACAAAUAAACUUGAAUUGAAUUGAAUUGAGGCUCAAAAGCGUGUGAAGGAAAUGAGUCAUCUAAUGCCCCAACAUGCGUUCCUGCAGCCUUCUAGAUCAUGCUCCUCAUCAAUACCACUUUCUGCACAGAAAGCAACUAAACAGCCCAACACGCUCUCCUCGGCACCCCGUCCAGAGCCGGAUGUGGCGUCAUGCACCGAAGAGGAGCCUGCAUCAUGAUAGUGAGCUGUCCUUGGCUGUCAAGCCUUCGUCCCGAUGGUCCGAUCAAGAGGAGGAGAGAGCUCGCUGGAGGCCCGGCCCCCAAGCGCCCUGUUCUGCAUCAUGUCCCCUUUGUUCCUCUGGCCCAGUUGAUCCCCUUAUUUGGACCGGCACUAAGGAGCGACACCAUUUCAUACCUGCCGUUCAUUAUACUAGUAAUAAAAAACCACCUUGCAGAGACAUGGAAUACUAUCAGUAUGCAACAACAGCUAAGAUCUGCAUCGCUUAACUACAGAGACUUGCGCUUUUUACAACAUUUAAAAAGUUUGUGACAUUAAAUGGUGUUAUAUAACAUCAUGUUUCUUUCAACCAGUAGAUUACACUAGCAGCAAGCACUCAAACAACACAAAACCUCUUUCAUCUUCUUGUAAGUUUCAGUUUUUUUUUCCUUCUUGGGAGUAACAGAGGCUAUUAUUUAGUAUAAUUCUUGGCUUGCAGCCCGGUGCUUUGGGAAGAUUCCUGAUGACGGACCCAAGGCAUGCACACAGCCCUACACAGCAAACACAGGCCCUUCCCUUUGAUGGAAUCUUGUACUCAUUCAAGCUGGAAUCACUGAAACAUCUCAAACACAUUAUAAACUAAAGCUACUGAAAUUUAUUCUGAAUUUGAACUUGCCUUUAAAUAAACAUAUUACAGAUUCUAGCUUGGUUUAUACACAAUAUCUCAAAGAAAUGUUUCAUGCAAGCAGUGAAUGUUAACAAAUAUAUAUUUCAUUAUUUGGGAGUGUCAUACAACAACUUCAGUUCAAGCCUGUGUUAAUUUAAGGCAUAAGAUUACAUUUUAAUAUCAGCCUAUUUUGUCUCUGUUGCAAAGUUCAACAAUACACACUGUAUGCUACCAGUCAAAAAAUAAAAUUAAUAAUAAUAAUAAUAAUAAUAAUAAUAAUUAGGAUUUUUUUAUGUAAAGAAAGAAAGAAGUAUCUUAUGCUCACCAAGGCUGCAUUUAUUUGAUCCAAUGUAAAAGCUGUGAUAUUGUGAACCGUUUUCUUUUUGAAUAUAUUUUAAAAUGUAAUUUAUUCCUGUGAUGCAAAGCUGAAUUUUCAGUAUGAUUACUUCGCUCUUUAGUGUCACAUGCUCAGUUAUAAUCAGUU
ensembl:lncRNA